rnacentral:lncRNA from 1 species
GGACUCUGGUUCUUCUAUCAAAACACCCCUCCUCCAGUCACCCUGUAUUAAUUCCCAAGCCAACAACUCUUUGAAACCCCAGUAGGUCCAGGAGACCACCAGCCACAGCAUCUCUAGCUCUCAUUUGGAAGGAGGUCAGAAGUCACAGGGAACAAGAAAGAGAGCAACAAAUCCCAGAAUAGGACCAACGAGAAUAGACUCUACAACCAUCAAACCUCCUUAAGGACAGGAAUGGUCUCACUUUUGUAUUGACUGAUCUCCAUAUUAGAUUGGAAAACAGAAGAGAGGAAGCUCACACAGUUUUUAUCAUGAGGAAAUGAUUUCCUGAUCACUUCUAUGAAGUCUGCAAUAAGACUGUGUUCUCAAGCAGUGAUGAAUCUGGCCAAGUAGGGACUGAUGAUACAUGGACAGUCCUAUUCAGGCAAACAAAAUAUAGACUUCUAUAGAGGUGAGGCAGAUCAAAAAAAGAAGAGAAGAGUUGGCAGGAGAGAAGAACCUAUUAUUCUUAAAGAAAAUGUGAGGCUGAUCCUUCUCUGCUCAGAAACCUUCAAUGACUCCCCACUGCCAACAGGCGGCUGA